UAUACGUGAAUGGCAGUGGGGGGUCGGGGAGCGUGAGGGAGAAAUACAGGUGAAACACGUGGACUAUGGAAUGUGAUAUUAUUGAUUUUCAAAGGGCAAAUAAAUUCAAGAGAAAUGGAGAAAAGGGAAAGCAUCAGAGCAUGGCAAUGGACUUUAGUUAGUUCCUGUCUGCUAAGUUGCCUCCUUACUUGUGGCGCCUAAAUUCCCUCCUGAGGAAUUAAGCCUCCCCGUUUUGGUCACCUUGGAGGCAGUGAGCAAUUGACACUGUGGCUGUCAAAGGUGCUGCAUCUUCCUCUAUGCUGGCCAUCUACACCUGGGCCCGAGGUCUCCCAAAUAGUUAACGGUCACAAAAAGACAAGAGAACCCCUCUUACUUGAAUUCUCAUGCUGUUUUCAAUAAGAAAUUCUACUUCUCCAAGUAUUCAUGACAGAACCCUGAUUUUCUUCAAGCAUUAGAUGACCGAUGUUUGAGGGGAAGAUGAA
ensembl:lncRNA